rnacentral:rRNA from 1 species
GGUAACCCAAAGUUUGGUUAGUGGCGAACGGGUGAGGAAUACAUGGAUAACGUACCCCGGACUCAGGAAUAGCGGCGGGACUUCGGUCCCUUUGCGAAAGUGCCGGUAAUACCUGAUGACCUCGUAGUAUCGCAUGAUACAUCGAGCAAAGCCCCGACGGUCCGGGAGCGGUUCAUGUCCUAUCAGCUUGUUGGUGGGGUAACGGCCUACCAAGGCGGCGACGGGUAUCGGGCGUGAGAGCGUGAACCGACACAUCGGAACUGAGACACGGUCCGGACACCUACGGGUGGCUGCAGCAACGAAUAUUCCGCAAUGGACGCAAGUCUGACGGAGCGACGCCGCGUGCAGGAAGAAGUCCCUCGGGAUGUAAACUGCUGUCAGGGGUUAGGAAGAUCUGACCAGCCCCAAAGGAAGCACCGGCUAACUCCGUGCCAGCAGCCGCGGUAAUACGGAGGGUGCAAGCGUUGUUCGGAAUCACUGGGCUUAAAGCGCGUGUAGGCGGAAUACCAGGUGUCGUGUGAAAGCCCCGGGCUCAACCCGGGAAUGGCGCGGCAAACCGGUAUUCUUGAGGCAGGUAGAGGUGACUGGAACGACUGGUGGAGCGGUG